AUAUUUGUAUGUAAACAAAAAAUAAUAACAAAAUUAAAAUAUUAAAAAUAAGAUUAAUAAAAAUUAUAAAUAUAAAAAUGGGCAGGGUGUGCGCAGUUAAAAAUUGCAAUAGUGGAAGUGCAACUGAUCUCAUACGAAGACGGGAAUCGAAUUUUAAAAAACCUAUGUUUUUUAAAGUACCAAAGAAUCAACUAAUCAGAAGCAGGAAAAUAAUAGAAAGAAAA